UGGGGGAUCUGCUAAUGGUAGGCGAGGUGACUCUGGAUCACCGGGUCCAGGUUCGAAUCCUGGUCCCCCAGCCA
rnacentral:tRNA from 1 species